rnacentral:rRNA from 1 species
AAAGCACUUUAAGUUGGGAGGAAGGGCAGUAAGUUAAUACCUUGCUGUUUUGACGUUACCAACAGAAUAAGCACCGGCUAACUUCGUGCCAGCAGCCGCGGUAAUACGAAGGGUGCAAGCGUUAAUCGGAAUUACUGGGCGUAAAGCGCGCGUAGGUGGUUCAGCAAGUUGGAUGUGAAAUCCCCGGGCUCAACCUGGGAACUGCAUCCAAAACUACUGAGCUAGAGUACGGUAGAGGGUGGUGGAAUUU